rnacentral:tRNA from 1 species
GGACUGUGGCCCAGUGGCAAAGCGCUUGCCUUGCAAGAGGCACUGGGUUCGAUCCUCAGCACCA